UACGUAGGGUGCAAGCGUUAGUCCGGAAUUAUUGGGCGUAAAGAGCUCGUAGGCGGUCUGUCGCGUCGGCUGUGAAAACCUCGGGGCUCAACUCCGGGGCCUGCAGCCGAUACGGGCAGGACUAGAAUGGUGAGGGAGGGACUGGGAAUUCCGUGGUGUAGCGGUGAAAUGCGACGAUAUCAGGAGGACACCGGUGGCGAAGGCGGGUCUCUGGGCCGAACUGACGCGUGAGGAGCGAAAGCGUGGGGAGCGAACAGG
rnacentral:rRNA from 1 species